CGUUGAUUGUCCCUGCCCUUUGUACACACCGCCCGUCGCUACUACCGAUUGAACGGCUCAGUGAGGCCUUCGGAUUGGCUCAGAUUGUCGGCGACGAUGAUCAGAGCCGAAAAGUUGGUCAAACUUGGUCGUUUAGAGG
rnacentral:rRNA from 1 species